GUUGUUCUUCCUCUCUAGUCAUGGCUGGAAGUGUGGUCAGUGUCAAACUGCUCUGUAGCCGAGCUGCAUCAAUCAAUGCUGUGGACAUGGACGGAUGCACGCCUCUGUCAUUGGCUGCCCAGAGGUGCCAGGCUGGUGUGUGCCAUCCUCUUCUGGAGGCUGGCGCCUCCAUAAACCACCGGGACAAACAGAACAAAACUCCUCUGAUGUG